rnacentral:rRNA from 1 species
GACGAAGGGGGCUAGCGUUGUUCGGAAUUACUGGGCGUAAAGCGCGUGUAGGCGGUUGUCCAAGUUGGAUGUGAAAGCCUUGAGCUCAACUCAAGAAAUGCAUUGAAUACUGUAGAGGCUUGAGGUUUGGAGGGGGGACUGGAAUUCUCGGUGUAGCAGUGAAAUGCGUAGAUAUCGAGAGGAACACCAGUGGCGAAGGCGAGUCCCUGGACAACACCUGACACUGAGGCACGAAAGCCGGGGGAGCAAACAGG